rnacentral:lncRNA from 1 species
UUGUUUUGCUUCCCAGCUUACAUACUCGUACAUUCCAUGUACUGAGCCAUUUGGCCUGCAUCUUCUUAUGAUGCAGACACAGGUAUUCAGGAUCAUCAACAGGAGAUUCGUUGAUACAUCCGGGAGUUCCAGUUAGCUAUGACAAGCCUCCUUGCUUCCGGAGGAUUUCAUUUACCUUUCAGUUGUAUCAAUUGUUAGGAGGUUGUGGGUUUUGUCCCAGCUUCCAUCUUUAUCAGUUAGAGGCUUCAUAGAUAGACAGUAGAGUUUCAGAAGUCUUUUCAUUUAUUUUGUUAAAUGUUUUGAAGACUAAAGUUGCCUUUUAUGGCGAGUUGUAUAUAUAUUCUAUUAUACAGAGUUUUCUUUUGAGUUAAAGAUUUGUAAAGUUGAGUUUAUAAACUCUUAUUCAGUUUUAAGCUCUUGUAUGCUUAAGUUAGUCUUCUGCUUGGAGUCAGC